CAACUGCUUGGAUUGGAGGACGACUGACGAAGCCCAGACUCGGCCACCCCUCUCACCCAGGCCGAGCCCAGGGUUACGCUCCAGGUAGCGGGCUGGAUCGAAGCAUACCUCAUGGCCCGGGAAACAGCGGACGUAGUGGCUACAAUACUCAUCGAGCGCAUCAUCCCGAGGUUCGGAUUGCCCCGGACCCUCCAGUCGGACAACGGACCUGCCUUCAUCUCCAGUGUAACCCAACAGUACUUGCAGGGUCGCCUACAAGAACUUGCCUGAGUAUCUGUCAAUCAACUCCGCCUCCAGCCCUACUCUCGCCUGCCCACUUCCGACUACCCCUAUGAGGACGCCCCCUGUCAGCAGGAAGUAGCCAGAACCGAGUCAACGCCCCUGACACCAUUAUAUUAAGCAAAAGGUCGGAAUGUUGGGCUGGUAGGAAGGGCUACCAAAGAUGGCGAAAGUUCCCGCCACAAGACCUGAGCUGGGACAGGAGAACAAAGGCCAAAGCAGGAAUCUGAGACCCCCGCCCCGGGCUCCUGUGGACCAAUGGGAUCCCGAUGAGCGGCGGGAUAUCCAAAUAAGGGAAACUUGCCAAAAGACCCCUGAGCUUUCCCCAAGACCCCUUAAAAGCCCCCUCCCUCCCUGCCUUGGGCGCGACUUCCGCCACUCUGCUUUCCAGAGUGGCGGAACCUCGCCCCAG